GACGAACGCUGGCGGCGUGCUUAACACAUGCAAGUCGAGCGGUAAGGCCCUUUCGGGGGUACGACGAGCGGCGAACGGGUGAGUAACACGUGGGUGACCUGCCCUUAGCUCUGGGAUAAGCCUGGGAAACUGGGUCUAAUACCGGAUAUGACUCCAUAACGCAUGUUGUGGGGUGGAAAGCCUUGUGCGGCUAGGGAUGGGCCCGCGGCCUAUCAGCUUGUUGGUGGGGUGAUGGCCACCAAGGCGACGACGGGUAGCCGGCCUGAGAGGGCGACCGGCCACACUGGGACUGAGACACGGCCCAGACUCCUACGGGAGGCAGCAGUGGGGAAUCUUGCGCAAUGGGCGAAAGCCUGACGCAGCGACGCCGCGUGGGGAGU
rnacentral:rRNA from 1 species